rnacentral:lncRNA from 1 species
GGAUCUGACAGCAGCUGGAAUAUCUAGUUCAAAUUUGCUGUGGCAGGUAGAAAGAGUGCGAAUGUUAAAAUAUCCAAGGCGUUUGUAAAUACUCUAACUUGCUAGCCAUUUGCAUUCAGUUUGAGAGGAUUGCUAUCACUAGCAUAAAUGUAGGUUGACAUCUUUUUAAAAGUGCUUCCACUGAUGAUUUGAUUCUGAAUGUCUUUUAUUUAAACAGUCCAACACAUUUUAUUGUCAUUCUUGCAAAACAGGAAUAAUGAUUAAACAGUACAGAUAACUACAGUAUAAUUCAUGGGCGAUACCUGACUGAUCUUAUCAGCGAUGCACAUGUGCAUCCGUGAAUUACUGAACUCCCGGAUAUUGAACUAUUGCAUCAAGAGCCAGGAUGUGACAUUAGGAAUUACUAUGCUGCCUUUUUAUAAAGUGCACUACAGUAGAGUCUGUAAGUCAGGGACCAGUUGUGCUUAGGUACAGUAGAAACAUUCAUUAGUCUCUGACUUGAAGAGUUUCCACAGACAACACCACAGACCUACUCUAAACAAUCAGCUGCAGCUCCCUAACAGACAUGUUAGGGAUGCAAGGCCCAGAGGAGCACUGAUGGCUGUAAGAUUUAUGGCAGUACAGGGAAAACUAUCUUUCCAUACAGCUGAAAAGCUCACUUCCUUUGUAGAAGCACCCACUAUCCCACAGUCCGAGGGAGUGACGACACCAUCGUACACGUCCUUGCUAUUCUUCAAGUAGCGUGAGGAACAAAAGCAUGACCAAGGUGUACAAAUGCCUUUGCAUACUACUCCCCUUCAUAUUCCAGGGCCGAGGAGAGGGGGGAUGGUUCCUUCCCACCAAUGCUCUCUCUGGGGAAGAAGCAUAAUAGAUCUACAAUCUAGAUUUUAUGACUCUAACCCCAGGCAGCACUGAAUGGCCAGAAAUUAUACAGUUGGAAAGUAAAUUUUAUAUCUGUAGAAAAGAAGAUAAUUUCAUCUCACAGGAAAGUGUGAGGGACCAGUGCUUGUCUCUCCAAAGCAGGUAAGCACUGCUAUAGCUUUUCCAUGACAGCUGGAAAAGCUGCAAUGGGCAAUGCAGAAUUGGU